rnacentral:RNase_P_RNA from 1 species
GAUGGAGUUGCGGAUGAUCGCGACCACACGUCGAGGAAAGUCCGGACACCACAGGGCAGGAUGGUGGGUAACACCCACUCGGAGCAAUCCGCAGGCUAGUGCCACAGAAAGUAGACCGCCCCACUUGCUGGGGUAAGGGUGAAAGGGUGGAGUAAGAGACCACCAGCGGGCGUGGCGACGCGCCCGGCUCGGUAAACCCCAUCCGGUGCAAGAUCAAGCAGAACACGUUAUGAGGCUGCCCGCCCAGUGUUCGGGUUGAUCGCUUGAGUCCCGCGGUAACGCGGCGACCAGAUAGAUGAUCAUCAAGCGCACGACUCAUAAUUGUGCGCUCACAGAAUCCGGCUUAUAGCACUCCAUCCCGU